CUCAACAGAGGCAAACUGAGCAGCCCAAUCUUUAAAAUGCCUGCUCCAAAGAGUCUACUGUAAGCUACAUGAUGGUCAUAGAGGAGAGCUGGAGUUCAGGGUCUGCCAUCUGAAGAUCCUAGAUAAAAAAACAUGUAGUAAACUACCCCUCCCUCAUGAUGGCUGCAAAUCUGCAUGCAGCCCAUUAACACUGAAAACACUGCACUAACUUCCUUGUUCCUCCCACCUACUAAUUCCACCACCACCUUUUUUUUUUGUCUUCCUCCUUACCUGAUAACUUUUGUUUAUUCUGUAAGCUAUUUGAGUCAGGGGCUGUCACUUCCUAUGUGUUUAUGCAGUGCCUUGCAGAAAGGCUGACAGCUGUAGUUGCCGUUAUAAUCAAGGAGAAAGGAGGGUGGGAUUUUCAAGGCACUAAGGAAAAUGAGUCAUUCACCUACCAUUGACAUUCAAUAGGCUUUGAGUACCUUUCUCCACUUUGAAAAUCUACAGUUACAAGUAUAAUAAUUAAGAUGUCCGUCAUCACCAAAACAUCCAUUGUUAAAAUAUGACACAGCCUCCAAUAGGGAAAACCUUCGUUUAGGGCAUAGUCAGUAACAAAAAGAAAUUUGUUUCAGAAGCGCUAAGAACUCAUUUGUUGAAAAUCAUGCACAACGGUGUUCAACAUACAUUCUGAAAUCCUGCACUUCCACACUGAAAAUAAUCAAUGUUAGCUAUCACAGGAAGAAAUAGAAUUAAAAAAAAUGCACCGUUCUGAAGAUGCAUGGCAUGGCAAGGCAAUAAAAGUCAUCACAAGAAAAAUCUGAACUGGAAUAAUUUCAUCCAUAGUGUGAAUGCAAUAUCGAAAACCACACUCAAAGAUGAGAAAACUUUUGGAAAAGGCAAGGAAGCUGACUAACCUGACCAAUAGGCUCUUUUGUCGGGGCCUUUCCUCUUCUCGCAGUGC